UCCCUGGUGGUCUAGUGGUUAGGAUUUGGUGCUCUCACCGCCGUGGCCCGGGUUCGAUUCCCGCUCAGGGAA
rnacentral:tRNA from 2 species